GACGAACGCUGGCGGCGGGCUUAACACAUGCAAGUCGAGCGGAAAGGCCCUGCUUUUGUGGGGUGCUCGAGUGGCGAACGGGUGAGGAACACGUGAGUAACCUGCCCUUGCCUUUGGGAUAACUUCAGGUAACUGGGGCUAAUACCGGAUAGGACCUCCUGCUGCAUGGUGGGGGUUGGGAAGUUUCGGCGGGGGGGGAUGGACUGGCGGCUUAUCAGUUUGUUGUUGGGGUAGUGGCUUACCACGGCUUUGGCGGGUAGCCGGCCCGAGGGGGUGACCGGCAAGAUUGGGACUGAGAUACGGCCCAGACUCCGACGGGAGGGAGCAGUGGGGAACAUUGCACAAGGGGCGGAAGUCUGACGAAGCAAAGCCGCGAGCGGGAUGACGGCCAUCGGGUUGUAAACCGCUUUCGCCUGUGACGACGGGUGAGUGACGGUAAUGGGUAAAGAAGCACCGGCUAACUACGUG
rnacentral:rRNA from 1 species